CUCACUUUGUCCUGUAGGUUCACCUGAAUUGGGGCAAGCUACAAAGUCCUCAGCAAAGAGAGCAAGAGAGGCCUCCAGAGGCCUGAACAAAGCAGCACCAGGAGGAGAUCAGGAACAGGCGCUUCUUGAAGUUGAGGGGAGACGUUUUCUUCUUCUGCUGCGAGCGCUUUAAGAAGAUACUCUCCAGGAUGACGCUGGCCAUGUUGGCCCCACCAGCCUCCUUCACGCCGUGCUUGCUGGGUUGCUGUGGGCAGGACAACACCAGCACGGCACUUGCUCAGCCAAAAACCUGCCCACCACUGGACCUCGCUCAGGUGCACUCUCCUCCCUGCCUGAGGGGCAGCCAGGAGGUGCUGCAACCCCCACAGGGGGAAUCAGCUGCAGAGGUGUGCAGGCAGCUUUGGAGGGCAAUCUGGGAGAAGCUGUUUCCCUCCCCUGCUGCCUGCAGCCCAUCUCCUCCAGGGGAGGUUCAGAGGUGAGUCAGAGUCAGAGGUUGAGCCCCUGCUACCUGGCCAAGCAGCCCGUCUGCCCCCUCCCCCCGCCCAGGACACAAACAUUGGCUCACUCACAACAGGGACCAGGUGAGGACCAAAGAUGCCAGGAACUGGUCCCAUCUGCUAUGCAUUUCUCCAGGGCAUGCCGCAGGCUGGGGGCAGGAGCAGGGGCAUCCCUCCAUCUGCUGGUGAUGCCCAGACUCUCUCAGCACAGCUCCUGCUGCUGCAGUGCUGACCCUGCCCCGCUGCUGUGGCUAUAGCCAGAGAGGCUGAGGACAAGCAGGGUUCCCCACUCCCAGGAUCCCCCCUUCCCUCU